CGCCAUGGCAACGGCCAUGAAAGAUGGAAGGGAAGCAAGGAGAUGGGGGGGGGGAACGAGGAAAAAAGGAGAGAGAUUCAGUAUCUUUAGCAAUGAAAAGCUGCUUUUGACAGGCAAGCAAAUCACUUCAGAGGGUACUAUUAUUGGUGGAGGGGGGAAGAGGGUGAAUUUCUCACCCAAGGAGGUCAGAGCAGGGGGUUGAACACAAUCCACAUUCCUAUUAACAGGAAAUUCCCUCAACACACACACACACACACAGAGAGAGAGAGAGAGAGAGAGAGAGAGAGAGAGAGUCCUUAUAUUAGAUAAGCAGCUCCCACCAUCUCAAUGAUAAAUAGGGGUUAAAUUCUACUCUGGGAAAGUCAAACUGAAGGACAUAAUAAUUAUGGAUCUUUAAGGACUUGUUAAGAGAUGGCAACCCAGCCUGACUCUGCUUGCUGCUUUAAAUGUGAGAUAAACAAUAUGUAAAUGUGGGUGUGAGAAAAAGGCUGACUGUGAAAUCGCUAAGCUUAUUGCUGGUAGCUUAAGACUACAAACUGCCCUCCCUCGAUGCAGACGAUAAAUCUGACAUAUAUAUUCAGCUUUGGUCUGGAUAGCACAGCAGUUAUAGCAUGGGUGUCCUUUCUGUGGCCUCUUUCAUUUAUGAUUUAGCAUUCCAUUCUGUUUUUCCACACGGUGCCCAAGGCAGGUAACAACAGUAAAAACAAAUGGCAUCAAGAUAACUAACCAUAUACCCAAUUAAUGAUGCAUUAAUUGCUAAAAUAUUUGGAGUAGUUUUCAGAGUCUAAAUUACCAGUGCAUUGUUAAGAGUCCACAUUACUUAUACAGCAACUAUAUCUAACUUUUUUUAAACCCCCCCCCCCAAAAGCAAACAACUUUAUAACACAUUAUGGCCAUGGGGCUGCCAGCACAGCCUAUGCACACCCCCAUAGUGUGGACCUUAAUAUUGUAGAGCCUCAGGUGUGGGGGGAAUGGCGGCCCAAGAGAGAGCUUUUCUGUGGCAGCCCCGGUUCCAACAGUGGAGGUAAAACAUAACCAUUGUGGCUAGUAGGCAUUGACAACCUUAUCCUUCAUGAAUUUGUCUACUUCUCUCUUUUAAAGCCAUUGUGUGUGUGUGUGUGUGUGUGUGUGUGUGUUUGUGUGUGUUCGCGCAAACAUACUCCCACUAAUAUAUGAUUUCACAAGAUAUGUAUUAUUCUACUUGGGUACAAUUGCUGAAAAUGGCAAGAACAAACUUGUUUGAAGUCGUCCUUAGAGCAGGGUAGGGGUGCCAUUGGACUAUAGCUCCCAUCAUCCCUGACCAUUGGCCAUGCUGGGUGUGGUUGAUAGGAGAUGGAAGGCCAUACAUUCUCCAGACUUGCUUUAGAGCAGUGUUCCUCAAACUUGAGUUUCCAGCUGUUUUUGGACUACAACUCCCAUCAUCCAUAGCUAGGAAAACCAGUGGUCAGGGAUGAUGGGAAUUGUAGUUUGAAUACAGAUGGAGACCCAAGUUUGGGAAACACUGCCUUAGAGGGAUGUGUAUUGGUAAAGUUUGCAGUAAUCAGGGACUGCUGGGCUAUUUAGCAAGUACCAAAGAAAUGAACCUAUGCUGCCAAUUCUCGUAGUAGACCAAUAUAAAAUAAGCAGCGCAUAAGCGACACACAAAACACUACCAAGCCAUUCUACGUUCUAAAUCUUUUAUUAAUAAUCCAAGGGUUAGAUAUCAACGAGGAUAAGACAGGGUGCCGGCUUAGUAAAUGAAUAAAUGCUUAAGUCAAGAAAGAACUUAACAUAUGAAGUUGAAUGUAUGUAAAUACACCAAAAUCUUGAGGGAGAAUUUCCUGAAGAAAGAAAUUAAAUAUUGUAGCUUAAUCUAAAAAGAAAUGUAACAUAUGGACUUGAGAGUGAAAGCGUGAGAGUGAAUUUACUGAAGAAGCCCAAGACUCUUCAUGGGCGGCACCCUGUCUAACUCUUGUGCAUAACAUCACCGACAUUUCGUUUGAUCAAACUUAACCUUGUUGAUAUCUAUAGGAGCCUGGCUAAAGGAACUCUAAAGACUGAAUCUUCCUUUUGGACACAAUAUGAAUUAGUUUUCUGUUUGUGGCUUCUGUAGUAGAUUUUGUACAUAACUCUCUCAAUUUUUGGAUUAUUAAUAUAAGAUUUAGAACGUAGAAUGGUUUGGUAGUGUUUUGUGUGCUGCUUAUGUGCUGCUUAUUUUAUACUGGGUUAUUUAGCAAAGUAGUCUGACUGAGAAUGAGAGUGAGGACUGACUGUGCUCAUUGACUACAGAAUGCUGACAGUCUUGGCUGUUGGGGUGGGAAGAAUGGAGAACUAGAGAGUGGAGGAAAUGGAAGUGGCUGGUAUCUUGAACAGCAGCACACCACUUGGCAACACGUUAUCAGUUGUGUCACUCUGUUUUACAGACUGAAGUUCAUCACUCUUCUCCUGGAAAGACGGUAAUGAAAUACUGCGCUCAUUUAUUUAAGUCCACGUCUUGAUUUGCCACUUUCCCACAAGAGUUUGGCAAUGAUUUACUGAUCUUCCCUGUAGGCCAGUAUUGUUGAGAAGGUCAUACUCUCUAGGAAGAUGUAUUGACCUGAGAGACCCCAGUACCUGAAAGCUCGGGAUCGCUGCAUGUCUUAUUAAAACGACAAGGAAGAAUUCCACGGGUGGUUGCAUUCUGCCACUUGAACGACUUCACACAGAGUAUGCCUGUAGAAAUUCCCAUUCAAGAGACAGGCAUUGCACCACCUCAUUGCAAAGGUCAGUGUUAGCAUGUCAUUGGGAGGCACUUCAACUCUUGCUGAUGGCAGAAAUGAAAUUGUCUAAUAUUUCCCAUGAGUUAAUUUGCUUCCAGUCCUAUGGGUCGGGGACAGAAAGGCUACCAUGGGCUGGUGUGCUGCUUCAUUUGAUAUUAUAGUGGUGAAGCAUUAAUAACCAGCUGCAUCCUUGACCAAACUGGAAUUUUAACCCAGAUCCAUUGAAGGCUAAUUUGCUCACUGAGAAAAAAGAGAGGAGGAAAAAAUACGUAUGCUUUUCAGACUUUGCCAUUCCAGGAUGCUGGUGUGUGGCAAAGUCUCUCUGCCAUGGAAGGCUAAUAUGUCAGGAGAAGAGUUAUUAUUGGAUAUUAAGGAUUUGUUAAACAUGGCAAUCUGUACUAAAUGUGACUGGGGUCUUAUUUUUAGAUGCAAAUUGUGGGCCUAUGCACUUUCCUCACUAAGGAUACAAUGACAUGACCCUGAUGUGAUUGUCCAGGAGAACCCAAAGGACCCUGUUGGACUUGUGACCUGGCUGGGAUCAUUUCAACUAGAGCCUCCAUGUGGGAGUGUGGGCACAUGUUUGCUUUCCACCAUUGUGGUGACUGGGAAAAGUGCUGUUAUACAUAUCAUAUGGUAUUGAAGAAACACCAGAACUAAGUGCAUGGUAAGACGAUGCUCUAAAUCAGAGGCCGGCAAGGUUUACCUCACCUGAGCCGGUUCACUCCAGCAGAGAUCCCUCUGUGGGCUGGAUUGUGCGUCCGCGUGAGCGCAUGUGCCCGUGAUUUCCAGCAUCUGCAUCUGUGCAGAUGCGAUUUCCAGCGCCUCAGAAGAGAGUCCCCAUGCUGUGCUGCGCUGGUUUAGUGCAGUGCGCGGGGACUUGUCGCGUGAGCGGCUCAGUUCGGGGGCGGUUCAGGGGCCAGUUAAACGACCCCCAUGGGCCGCUUGUAGCCCUGCUCUAAGUCAUCUUACCAAAAGGUUAAAAAUGUUUGUUUGUUUGUGUGUGUGUGUUUCUAUGUUCAUUCAGCUUUGUGACCAGAUCUACUCUCAGAAUAACAAUAUCACUGGCCAGCUAUCAAGUAAUCACAUGGUGAGUUACUACUUUUCAAAUGUAUAAUUUAUCUAACAUCAGCUGUUGCUAAAAAUGCAACAAGAGCCUGUCUCUAGCUCACACUGUCAUUCAUUCAUGUGGAGAUGAGUUUGAGGUUUGCUUCAAGAAUAGUUCUUAAAUAAAUAUAGGUUGCUUGCACCCUCUUAUUAUAUAAAGUUACAGAACAUCUUACGUGCCCUAAUAAAGUCAGGUUAUCUGGGGAUGAUGAGAGUUGUCGUACAAAACAUCUGGUAGAGGUCAAAUUGCCAAAGGUUGCACUAGUUUAAUAUAGCUAUAAUAAUUGAGAUGCUUUGUUUCCAGGAUGCUGUCAGGAUAACUUCACAUUUUAUAAUUUUAGGUGUACAGCUAAGGUGUGUAUCCACCUUACAGUAUGUCCUUUCAUUUAACAUUCAACAUGUUUUGUGCUCAAUAUGUUAUCAAUACAAUAUCACACUUUCAAUACCAUUUCCACCUGCAAUACCAUUUCUAUCUGAGGCUGUUAUGAUGCUUCAUUCACAAUCAGUGCAUGGGCCAUAGUUUCCUAUGAGAUUUUCUGUACCUUUUAAUGCAACAAAUGUUCCACACUUGGUUGUGUCCUUUGUCCUACAUUUGUUGUGUUGCAGCACAAUAGUACCCCUUCAGUUGGCAAUAAAUGCAGUGACAUUAGUGAAGCAUUUCAGAACUAAUAAAGCAGAAUGGUGUGUGGGUAGUAUAGCAUUAUUGCAUUUACCCCAAUCUCCGAGCAGCAAGAGACUCCAGGGGUUCCUGCACUUUCCCAGGGUUUAAUUCUCUUGGAAUAAAGGUGAACAAGACUGCGAUACAGCAGAUACAGUUUUAUUUACUCAUAUAUACAACCUGAGCACAGGAGGGAAAGGCUCACAGGAUUAACACUAACAGACGUAGCUCCCUAUUAACUUUCCAGGGUAGCCCCCCGUCCAGCUUCUAGCAUCAAGGUCAGAGCAAAUGUGAGCAACUUUGCCCUCAAAUGCUUUGCAAAUUUGUGCUGUCAGAAUGUGAAACACUGAUCAAAGUAUUGUUUCUUUUGACUGGCAGAGCCUCUUCAGGAUUUCAGGCAGAGAGGCUUACUUUCUAUCACUUGCUACCUGGUCCUUUUAACUGAAUUUAACAGGAAGUGAACCUGGGAUAUUCUGUAUGCAAGGCAGGUGCUCAGCCACUGAGCUAUGGUCCAUAGUCGUGAGGUAACAAUAAGCAUACCUUUUCUGUCAAUACACUCUCAGAGAAAGAAGUUACCAGCAGAGGUAGGAUGACCCAAUAGCUCCCCUGUCUCUGAUCUUAACAAUUCCAUCUAGUCCCAUCAUGUGCUUUGUCACUAUGCCCAGGGUGCUUCCGCAGUGACCCCGGGGGAUUUUUUCCAUUUUUCAACCAUUCAUUUGCAGAACUCAUCAUAGCAACCUGCUGUGCUCCUCCUACACUCCUUACAGCUAAGGCAGGUGUGUGUAAGCAACUUGUUGUGCAAGCAAGUAGGGGCCUGUCAACAAAGCUUGCACAAGAGUUCAUUUCAAGCUAUCUGGGAGUGGUGAAAGAGGGCGGCUUUAAGGAUGGGCACUCUAUUGCUGACCGGGGCUGACCACACCUGACCAUCAAUCAUAUUGACUGGGGCUGAUGGGAGUUGGAGCCCAACAUCUGGAGAGCUGCAGAUUCCCCAGCCAUGACUUAGAAGAUACUGCCUCUGCUCACACAAAAGAUCAAAGGUAUCUGAGCAUUACUUUCUGCUAUAGGAUUGAAAUAAUGCAUGGAGUCUGCAUGGCUUGUUGUUUCUUAAAAUGACAGAAACAGCUGGCCUUGCAUUUAUGGCCCAGUGGCUAUCCUAACAGAGAGUGUUCCUCAGAGUCACAGCCUGGUCACAUCUAUGUGAUCUAUGUAAAUAGCCUUUGCCAUUUAUCUGAAUAUUUACUUGUUCACCAGAGGACAGACAAUAGUGCCAAUUGCUGCUUUGUUACAGAGCAUGAUUGUGUUCUAAGAAAGCAGCUCUUGCAGAAAAAGUGAAGAAGUUUUCAACCAAGACAGAAACAAUUGUGUCAAAGCCACUUGACAUAUUAUGCAGAAGUAAAUCUGGUGGAUUUAUGGUACACGUUUAGAAACUUGUGUAUGUUGUAUGCAUGCUUCACGAUGUCUUCGGGCUGCUUCAUGCUGGUGUUUUCUUGCGGGAGUUUUCUGCAACAUGUCCUUGAUGCAAUAAUAGUGUGUUUAUGGUGGAUUUAUAAUGUUAUAGUAUUGGGGGGUUGAUCUGGAGGAUAUCUGGGGAAGCCUUCCAGUCCUGUGAACCUAGCAGAAUAAUCUGCUAAACAAGCAAACCUGUCUCUUUGUAAAAUAAUGACCAUAGCUGACCAUUCAUCAGCAUCUUAAAGAAUGAGCCAUGUUGCCAUAGUGACAACUCAGUGAUGGUGCUUCCAGGAGGAAGGAAUUGGCCUUUUCCUACCUCACCUGGCUGGAUGCCACAUCAUCCAAAGAAGGAAUACAAUAGGCUGAGGUGUGUGAGAGAGCCUUUUAGGUGGUUUUUGGGGCUGUGAUGGUACAAAUAAUAAUAGUAAUAGUAAUAAUAAUAAUAAUAAUAAUAAUAAUAAUAAUAAUAAUAAUAUAUUAUUUACACCCCACCCAUCUGGCUGGGUUUCCCCAGCCACUCUGGGUGGCUUCCAGCAAAACAUUAAAAUACAAUAUGUUCCACACUUGGUGGUUGUGGUUUUUUUGUAUGUGUGUCCUACAUUUGUUGUGUUGCAGUGCAAUAGUGUCCCUCCAGUGGGCAAUAUCUUUAUUCCUCUUUACUGCAUACCAAGGAACCUGUGUGUUUCACCUAAGGAAGAAGGCAGACCUGGGUAACAGCUGUUUGUUAUACGUGUACAGAUGGAUGGGGGCAUAUCAGCCAUUAUGUGUUUUUUUUCUUCCCAGGAAAGUGCAACCUGAAACCUGCCCAGCAUCUACAAAGCCUUAUUUGAAUGUCUGGUACUUCCUCCCACAAGUAGCUUAUGAGAUGGAGGCUCUAAUGAACUUUUUUCUUUCUAUUCUGCCCACCCUCCACCGAAUUUGUGUACCAUGUAGCCUAAAGAAAAAUUCUGGAGGAAACUUAUGCAUCGUUUUGUGACCUGCUUUAUUUCCAAGCUCCUAGAAGUUCACUUGGAAUUUGUGGUUUUGUGUUAAUACAAUGCAUAGUUGUUAGGAAAAAGAAAACUGGCACUGUUAAAACGCCUGUGAAAUCUGUCACUGAUUUAUUCAAUGAAAGUGAAAUGUAUGUUUUAUGACUGAGUCACCAAAUAAUCCAACACCAAGAGGUCAGGUUUAAUGGAUUCAUUUUCUACAACCAUAUUAUAACAAAAACCAAAGCAUAAUUUUGUGUGUGUGCGUGCGUGCGCACGUGUGUGUUUCUAAUUAUAGUUAAAUGACUUCUAAGCUUUUGAUCUAGCUUACUAGUGACUUGCAUUUUAGACUUCUAUAAUUCUCAUGUCAUCUUAUUUGUAAUUUUAGUAAAACCAAGUCCUGGGAAAAUAUGCUUGCCACCUCCCCUUCCUUGUCUGUUCCUAAGAUCAAGGAAACUCACCACAAUGGUACAAGAUUUCUGUGCCUUUCAAAAAAUUGGACGCUGUCACUAAAAUGAAACACUUGCUUCCUACACAGGAAUACCAUGUGACAUCUGAAAGGUCUACUGGUUUCUCACAGCUACUUGAAGGAGAAAACAACACACAUUCCUAAUAGUAUACUGACCUUUAAUGGGACUGGCCUUUGAAAUACUUAUUUUGGUUCUGGGCAAGUUGUAUGUUGUAUAUGCCUCAGUUUUAUUUUGGUAUCUCUUGGACAACUUUGUUCACCACAGAAUAUUUCCCUGCAUGAAAUUAUGCGAUGGGCAGGACAGCACUGUAAAAGAAGUGCAAAGCCAAAUUGUUUUUAUCUGAAGUGUACACUUGCAAUGAAUAAUUCAAGAGCUCAGAGGCUUUGGAAAGCUGGAAAAGUGGCUGGUUAGAGGUGCCUAAUUAAUUUCUUUCUCUCUCUCUCUCUUAUGUGCUUUCCUAUGCUGCCACUGCCGUAACCUUGACCGCCCGCUGCAUCAGAAUGCCCUCAGUGCUGCUUGGUGUUGGUAAGGAAUUUGAAGACCAAAUUAAAACUUGCCCUCAAAAUCCUUCUCCUGAAGCCCCCUGCCCCAACUUUCAAGGCAAAGCCAAAACCAGUAAUAAUGGCACACAGCCUGCGCUGGCAGCAAGGGGACAACAGGAAGGCUUUUCAUAAUACUAUCGUCCCCCUGUGUAUCUAAUUGCCAUGUCAAGAAGGAGCCAGCAAAAUCGGCAAGAGCAGGGAAGUGCCGCCCAGAGGAGAGCAACACUGGAAUGUCAGAACACUGGAAACUGCUUUGUAGCAAAUCAAACCAUUUGUCUGGUAUUUGUCUACUCUGACUGACAGCUGCUCUCCAGGGUUUCAGACAGCAGUCUCCCCUGGCGCUAUCUGGAGAUACUAGAGCAGGCAUAGGCAAACCCAGUCCUCCAGAUGUUUUGGGACUACAACUCCCAUGAUCCCUAGCUAACAGGAACAGGGGUCAGGGAUGAUGGGAAUUGUAGUCUCAAAACAUCUGGAGGGCUGAGUUUGCGUAUGCCUGCACUAGAGCUUGAACGUGGGGUCUUCUACUUUCAAGACAGAAGCUCUACCAUUUAGCUAUGGAUUUCCCCCAUCUUGUCUCAUCUAGCAAGUGCUAUUUCUUGGGUCCAGAUACUUUUUCAGGGCUGGUUUAUGCACUAGGUUUUCCCCAAAGAAGUGACACUUGCCCUCAAUAUAUGGUAUAUAUUAGACUGUUGGGUCUUUUUAGCUGUGGCCCCAUAUCUGAGGAAUUCCCUCUCUAGGGGGCACAUAUAGACCUACUUUGCUGCCUUAUGAACAGACCUUGGAGACCUUAUUUUAAGCAACUUUUAAUUAGUAACUGUGGCCCUCUUUUUAUUUUAAACUGCUUCUGUUUCAACGCUUCAGUAUAGCAUUUGACUCGGAGGAAAUCAGCUUCCCAUGUUCUCAAUUGCCUGCCUAUUAUAUAUUUGGGAUAUGUAGGACUAACAUUAACUCUAAUAUAGCGUGGAAAUAAAAUAACACAUAAUUAGGUACCUUCAGCUAAUUGAAUGAACUUCAGCACUAUCUCCCAUUUGGAAUACAACAGAGCCUUUCCCUGCCCUGAAUUAUAAUUUAACAACGAAGGGUAUUUUAAGCACUCAGAUGUAAAACAUUAUUGAAAACGAAGGCUUUACAAGCAUCUUCCAUCAACACCAAAGUAUCCCAGCCUCUUUGUGCUCACCCUUUCUUUCCAUUCCAGCUGGUCAUUGCAAGAACUCUGUAACUAAGGAAUCAUGUCUGAAUUUGCUCCCCCCCCUCUUUCUGUCCCAAUCCCUUUCCCCUUUUGUGUCAUGUCUCUUAAAUUUUAAGCCUAAGGGCUGCGGCUGCCUUAUCAAUGCCAUUUUUUUCUCUAGGGCAGGAUAAAACAAAUAACCCACUCCCCAGGUUUGCAAGGCAAAGUGACUUAGCCCUUAAAAUUAAACCCAUAUGCAUUUACGAGCCUGAGCUUUUGCUGGGCACAUAAAGAAUCAAUGAUAAAGGAAACUUCAGGGUCAUGUGACUUUCAGGCUACCAAAAAAGCCAACACAGCUUUAAAGGGCAUUUUAUUAAACAAAAUAGGCUAAUAAAAAUGAUGCUACACGUAAUCAUUUAGGUUUAUGUAUUCCCUUUCAUUGAAGCUAUUAUAGUGAUAAAUAUCAGUUAUGGGUUUUUAAAAUUAUUAUUGAUCCUCUAAGCUGUUUUGCUUUUUACAUUAUGGGAGUUCAUUUAACUCACCUACUACUACACCCUAACCAGACUAUAUAAAUGUGGACUCCUUACUUCCUUUUGUUUUAGAUGCACAAAAACAUCAGGAAGGUAUUUUAUUCUCCUUACACUUUGAGCACAGCUGUCAACUUUUUCCUUUUCUUGCGAGGAAUCCUAUUCGGAAUAAGGGAAUUUCCCUUAAAAAAAGGGAACCGUUGACAGCUAUGCUAAUGAGGCCUCCCGCCGCCAGUGCCCUUCCACCGUUUGGCUUCCAUUCGUAGACUGAGGUAAUGUUCGCAAACCAGAACACUACUUCCAGUUUUGCGGAGUUCGUAAACCGAAUAGUUCAUCAACAGGGCUGUUCAGAAACUGAGGUACCACUGCAUAAGCUAAGCAAGCUAUAGUUUAGGGCCCCAAUGUCUUGGGGGCCCCAAAAAAAUUUAAAAGAAAAAACCCUGGAUGUACAUUUCCAAAAUAUAAGAUAAAAAACAAAUAAAAUAAAACUACAUGCAGCGAAUGGCUUUAGAUACCUAUUAGGUCCAUAAAUUACCAUAUAGCAUAUAUUCAACACAAAAAAGUGACAAUUUGUUGUUGACAAAGGACAGCUGGACAUAUAAAGGGCCUCAUCACCUUCAGUAGCUUAGGGCCUCAUCAAACCUAAAUCUGGCCCUGGGUUGGGGUAGUGUAAAGGAAGGGGUUUUUUGGGGGGGGGGCAAGGUGUGAAGGGAGAGAGCUUGGCCAGGUGUGAGGGGGGGCUGGCAAAGCAUUUGGUAUUGGCUGGUAGGCUGCGUUUGUGGGCAAUGCAAACAGUUUGAGCUGCCCCUAGUGGAAUAUAUUUGUCAUAGGUAUCACCAUUAUUUCUUAUUCUUAUUAUUCAGAAUAGCACCUCAAUAAAGUCACGCAAAUACAGAACGGCUGGACUGCGUACGUUGUCAAGGGGGUCAUUUCUCCAUCUGGUGAACAUCAAACACGGCCUUGUGAAUCACUGGGCUUGUUAAUCCAGUGUCAGAGAUGUUUCUGUAAUGCUGUUAAAUUAAAUCAUUUGCCCUUUGAGGAAAUGGCUAUUGUAAUUUUGGAAACUAUAAAGAAAUAGAAAAUCAAACUAAUGGGAGAGAAAACUGAAAAUGACUCUCAAGGGGAAAGCUUCUAAUUUUUUGGUCGGUAUGCACAUUUUAAAAUGGUAAUGACCCAAGUCAGUUAUUGCCUUUGUUAUGAAGUUUCCAUGCCAUAUAGGAUGAGCCUUUCUCUGUAUGCCCGCUGCAGGCCUGGCACACAGGAAGGGCAGUUGCUUGCAUGGCUACAGUUGAAGGUAAGAGCUGGUUUUGGGAGCCCUGAGCCUGAUGAGAAGCUUUGCAUGAGAAUCUAAUCUAUCCCCCAAUGAUCAUCUGCAUUUUAUAUAAUUCUGUACUCAUAGAAGCCAGAUGAUGCUGAAAAAUGUCUUCAGGCUCGGGUUUAGUAUUGUUCAAAGGGGCUAAACAGCAUGAGCCUGUAGUACAUGCAUGCCUGUUAUUGCUGAACCAAGGUUUCCUUAAGGUACAAUAAAGUGGGUUCUAAAUCUUCCUCUUCAUCAAAAAAAUUUUCCUUCAGAAGAAAAUGAUUUUCCAGGCUCCCUGCUUCCUCAGCCUUCCAUGUAUGGUACAGAAAAGGGCUUGCCAACCUUUUCAGGUAUGUGAGCACAUUUUGAUUUUUGAGCAAGUUUUGUGGGUACCCUCUUCUCUGGUCACUGCUAUCUGCCUCCCCUAGGUCAGCCACCCCCCAAAAGACAGAUAGAAAGUUUCACACCUAUAGCUGAGUUUUCCAAGGAAGCUGCAUAGAUGUUAAGAUCUACAGUGGUACCUUGGGUUACAGACGCUUCAGGUUACAGACUCCGCUAACCCAGAAAUAGUGCUUCAGGUUAAGAACUUUGCUUCAGGAUGAGAACAAAAAUCAUGCUCCGGCGACGUGGCAGCAGGAGGAGGCCCCAUUAGCUAAAGUGGUGCUUCAGGUUAAGAACAGUUUCAGGUUAAGAACGGACCUCCAGAACGAAUUAAGUGCUUAACCCGAGGUACCACUGUAGUAGAAUUAAACUAAGUCUUGAAAAGCUGAAAGAAUAAGUGGGACAUGUAUUAAUCUCUCAGCUGCCUUUCAGCUGUAUGUAAUUUUCAAGGAUGAAAAAAGCUACCCCACCCUUGGCCGUUUCCAGGACUAACCUGAAACUGUGAAGCUCCUUCGUUGUUUUUGCUAUUGGUUGCUGCAUGUUGCUUAAGUGAUCUAGUUAAUGUUACAGUAUUGAAUUGUGGUUGUUUGUAUGUUAUUGUAUUUGUUUUGCAAUAUUGGUAAGAAAUUGUUACCAUGUUAUUGUUUCGCUAUAUUGUUAUGCAGAAGUUUUUAUGUUUUAACGUUUAAAAUGUAUUACUGAUUUCUUCAUUGUAUGCCACUUCAGCGUGGUUUUUGUGUGUGGAAAAGUGAAGGAAAAAUGAAGGAAGGAAGGAAUGUGAUGCAGUUACCACACAUAUACAUCAGUACAUGCAGAGGACUGUUUUGCACAAUUCCAUCCUCUCAAAAUGAAGGAUAAAAUUAAAUGAAUUAAGCUUGCAUCCAUGUGUAAGUUUCAUACUACCUUGCGGAGGUGGGUCUGCAGUACCCAUUUUUCCAUGAAGCUUUUUGGAUUUACAUAUUGGGUAAGCAUGAGAUUUGGUGCUCCAAAGACAGCAGUGAUGAACACUUGGAGUGUUAUUUCCUUAUAACAGAAAACAGUAAAGGGGAGGUGUUGCCACCUAGUGCCCUUACUGAAGAAGAGCACCAUGCCUUAAAUGUACAGUGGUACCUUGCCAACAAAGGUCCGUAUAGUUAAAGCUAUGGUUUUCCCAGUAGUGAUGUAUGGAAGUGAGAGCUGGACCAUAAAGAAGGCUGAUCGCUGAAGAAUUGAUGCUUUUGAAUUAUGGUGCUGGAGGAGACUCUUGAGAGCCCCAUGGACUGCAAGAAGAUCAAACCUCUCCAUUCUUAAGGAAAUCAGCCCUGAGUGCUCACUGGAAGAACAGAUCGUGAAGCUGACGUUCCAAUACUUUGGCCAUCUCAUGAGAAGAGAAGAGUCCCUGGAAAAGACCCUGAUGUUGGAAAAGACUGAGGGCACAAGGAGAAGGGGACAACAGAGGAUGAGAUGGUUGGACAGUGUUCUUGAAGCUUGAGUUUGACCAAACUGCGGGAGGCAGUGGAAGACAGGAGUGCCUGGCCCAUGGUCCAUGGGGUCACGAAGAGUCGGACACGACUGAACGACUAAACAAACAAAACCUCGGGUUACAUAUGCUUCAGGUUACAGACUCCGCUAACCCAGAAAUAGUACCUCGGGUUAAGAACUUUGCUUCAGGAUGAGAACAGAAAUCGUGCUCCGGCGGCGCACCAGCAGCAGGAGGCCCCAUUAGCUAAAGUGGUGCUUCAGGUUAAGAACAGUUUCAGGUUAAGAACGGACCUCCGAAACGAAUUAAGUACUUAACCCGAGGUACCACUGUACUGUAUUCCACAUGACAAGAAGCCUGAAAUAGUAAGUUUCACCAAAGAUUUGUGACUUACAAUGAGUCUGCACAAAUAAAAAAUAAUCAGGAAAAGUGACCCCUCUUGUCUCUUUAUCCCCUCCCCUGCUUCUCCACCUCCCAUAGCUUGCCUGUAGGAACACAGAAGUGCUGCACUAUAUUCAUGAAUUAUCACACCAUGACACUUUUCUUCCUGCCCUAGUUCCUUCUCUUCCCAGAGACUGCAUUCAUUCCCACUCUGACUUGUGAGCAGAAGAAAUUGAUUUCCCCCCUCACCCCUCAAUGGGAGGAAAAAUGGAUUUGAAAGUUGGUUUAAUGAGAAAAAAGUGCAGGGGGCUUUAUGUUUUGUAGUCCUCCUUCUCCCACAGCAGAUAGAAAGUGAUUGUCAAGGCUAGUGAUUCCUCUGCUCUAAGCUGAUGUUGGCAAACAGAUGAGUUGCACCCUGACCCAUUAUCUUCAUUUGCCUUGUUUUAGGUAAAAUAAUGUGUUUCUGGCAUUCAGGGGAAUGUGCUGGGGUGGGAGAGAUACAUAUGCCCAGAUGACUUGUUUAUUGAGCAUUUAUCCUGAUUUGUUUGUGGGGAGGUUAGAUGAAGUUGUGUCAAGGAAAUGCUAUCCCAUAUUUUACAGUGCAUCUUCCUAUUACUUUUCUUAUUGGAAGAAAGCCCAGUCCAUUGGGGAAGCGGGCUUCUUGUGCAAGACCUGCCAGUCAACUGGAACUGCACCACUUGAAUUUGCCAGUAUGUGACUGAAUCCCACCUAAAAGCAACGACGUUCUGGAAAUGCAGAGAGAGAACACUCCACUUUUGAAGCUCCUAUAGAAGAGACUGGAAUUUUGAACUGGGCCAGGAGUCUGGAAUCAAAAUGAAACACCACCUCAAAUUAAGGAGGAGUAUAGAUGGAAAAAUGGAUGUUAUUGUACUUGCGUAUUAUAUAAAUUGCCUCUUGUCCACUUAAAACUUUUACACAAGAAGGGGUUUGAUCAUUUUUCUGCUGAAACCAUUAAGGGGGAAACUACAAUUCAUUCUCAGGCAUGCAAUACCCUUUUUUUUUUUACACUUAGUUUGUAUCUGGUUGGAAGAAACCAUCUAAUGUAAAGCAUGUUAUGUUGCUUACCCAUACACAAGAAUAUCCCUGUGAGCAUAAACAUUGCCCUCCUAAAGUUUGUUUCAAACAGAGACCACCACCAUUCAUGCCAGUCACUGCUUUUAAUAUUUCAUCCAGCAUACUUUUAAAAUAGUACAAUAAAUUCAAUCAACACUGGCAAGACAUUGUGUUAAUACUAACAUCAAAAAUGUUCUUCGGUCACAAUGUAAUCCAGAAUCAUUUUCCAAAUGUAGAAAUAUAACCUGGCAGUUUUCCUAGGCAUACGACUUUAUUGCACUUUAUUGGAAUUAUUUUUUUUAAAAAUCUAUUUUUACAAGAUCAGUGUAAAUUGGCUGAUCUUAAUACUAUUUUGUUCUGCUUAAUACCACCAAGAAACAUGCCACAGUUAUUAAACCUGUUUAAUUAAAAAAUAAUAAUACACUGCAUAAUACGUUUGUGUGAAUAUGCAUAUACUUCCAUGGGGCAAAAGAAUCCUCCUUUAUCCUGGUUAAAUCUAUCAAUAAAACUAUUUGGAUUGUAUCCAACUAAAUCAUUAUGUGUACAGAAUGACUUCUGUUGGCACAACAGAACUACCCUCCUCCUCCCCCAGGUGUCUCCUGCACCCCCCAAUGUAGUCUGGAGAUUUAUGGUGUGCAUGUGAGAAAACAGGGAGGGAAGAUUCUGCUGCACUCAGUGUGUGUGUUCCUCACAUGCAGUGAUUUAACUGGAUACAACUCUGUGCUGCAGAAUGUUAUUCCAUGUACGCCACUCAUGAAUACCUAGUUUCCCCAAAAACAUGGAGGCUACACAAAACGGAUCAAAAAACUAAAGAGAAGAGCUACUGGAAAGUUUCAGAUUUUUGUUUUAAAAUUCAAGCACUUUAAAAGGGGGACCAAAAUAGUUAUUUUCUGUUAUUACUUGGCUGAAAAACACCUUAUUUUGCAAGUCAUUCAAGAACGGUGUUUAACUGAAGUGCACAUUUCUUCUCCCAUAGAAUUAUUUAUUGCCAUUUCCCCCCCAGAAUUCACCAGGAAAACCAGCUCAGUGCAACCUAAGUCAAAGUCCGAAGCCUCUUUACUGGAUGGCAAAUCCCUAGUUAACUCAGUGGAAUUUACUUCUUAGUAGAUGUGAUACAACCAGGCUGCUAGAUCAUUUUAAAAAGAAUGUGUCUAGAGUGGCACAAUUUCAUUAUUUUUUUUAUAAGAUAUUUAUUAAGAUUUUCAAAAUAUUACAAAAAAACCCAAAAACAAAAUAAAAUUAGUUAAAAACAAGUCAAUCUUUCGAUUACUUAUUUUUCAUUAGCUUGUUUCCCGGACCUCCUCACGCCUCCCUUUUGUGUAUUGCAGUUCAGUUUGGUGGUUCAGCAAAUCCUUCCCUCUUUGUUUAUCCUAAUCUCUAAUCUUAAAGUAUUGUAACAUUAAAUUUUUACCUGUUAGUAAUCCAUUUUCAUAUUCCCUUAUAAUAUUUCUGCUAAAAACCAUUUAAUUUCUAUCCAACAUCAUUCUAACAUUCAUUAAUUUUACAAUAUUUCUGUAAAUAGUCUUUAAAUUUCUUCCAAUCUUCUUCCACCGACUCUUCUCCCUGGUCUCGGAUUCUGCCAGUCAUUUCCGCCAGUUCUAGAGUGGCACAAUUUCACAAGUCAGAGUUGCAACCAGCCUGUACUAUCCUUUGAUCGUACAGCAGACUUGUCCCUUGUCCCUAACUGCUUUGAAAUGGGUGCAAAUGCAGUUCACUGUGGCCACCUGGUCACAGGAGAAGUCUGUCGCCUAUCACAUCACUCCUAUUUAAAGGCAAAUGAUUUGGUGAAAAAGGAUCUAGAGAUAUGGUCAAACUUGAAGCUUUCCUUGUUAGGUCGAAUUGCUGUUAUAAAGAUGAAUGUAUCGCCAAGAAUGUUAUUUUUGUUUCAAUCAUUGCAAAUCUUGAACAAAAUGGACUGUUUCAAGAAGUGGCAGAGAGACAUUUCUAGAUUUGUCUGGCAGGGCAAGAAGCCCAGAAUAAAAUUUAAAAUAUUAACUGAUGCAAAGGACAGAGGUGGAUUUGCCCUGCCAGACCUCAAACUUUAUUAUGAAUCAGCAGCAUUCUGCUGAUUGAAAGAAUGGCUGCUUCUUGAGAACACAGACAUUUUGGAUUUAGAAGGUUUCAAUAAUGUUUUUGGGUGGCAUGCAUAUCUGUGGUAUGACAAGGUUAAAGCACAUAAAGCAUUUAAAAACCAUAUUGUCAGGAAAGCAUUGUUAAAUGUCUGGAUAAGAUAUAAGGACUUACUUGAAAACAAAACCCCAAGGUGGUUGUCACCGAAGGAAGCAAAGGCUCAGAAAAGGCUCAGUAUGGAGGCCAAAUGGCCGAAAUAUUGGGAAAUUUUGGAACAAGAAGGAGACAAAUUGAAAUUGCAGAGUUUUGAGAAAUUAAAAGACAAAGUGCGAGACUGGCUUCAUUACUAUCAGAUAAUGGAGGCAUACAAUUUGGAUAAGAAAAUUGGCUUCCAGGUGGAAAAAUCAAAACUAGAAACAGAACUGUUAGAACCCAAAACUAAGAUUCUGUCAAAGAUGUAUAACUUGCUGUUGAAAUGGAAUACUCAGGAUGAAACGGUGAAAUCUGCUAUGAUUAAAUGAGCACAAGACGUUGGACAUAAUAUUAUGUUUGCUGACUGGGAACAGUUGUGGACCACAGGUAUGAAAUUUACGGCAUGUAAUGCCCUAAGAGAGAAUAUUAUGAAAAUGAUAUACAGGUGGUACAUGACACCAGUCAAGCUCGCAAAAAUCUAUCAUUUGCCCGAUAAUAAAUGUUGGAAAUGUAAAGAAAAUGAAGGUACAUUCUUUCACCUUUGGUGGACGUGCCCAAGGAUUAAGGCUUUCUGGGAGAUGAUCUAUAAUGAAUUGAAAAAGGUAUUUAAAUAUACCUUCUUGAAGAAACCAGAGGCCUUUCUCCUGGGCAUAGUCGACCAAUUGGUGCCAAAGAAGGAUAGAACUUAUUUUAUGUAUGCCACAACAGCAGCAAGAAUACUCAUCGCAAAGUAUUGGAAGACACAAGAGCUACCCACCUUGGAAGAAUGGCAGAUGAAGGUGAUGGACUAUAUGGAACUGGCGGAAAUGACUGGCAGAAUCCGAGACCAGGGAGAAGAGUUGAUGGAAGAAGACUGGGAAAAGUUUAAAGACUAUUUACAGAAAUAUUGUAAAAUUAAUGAAUGCUAGAAUGAUGUUGGAUAGAAAUUAAGUGGUCUUUAGCUGAAAUGUCACAAGGGAAUAUGAAAAAUGGAUUAUUAAUAGGUAAAAAUUUAAAAUUACAAUACUUUAUGAUUAAUGACUAAGAUAUACAAAGAGGGAGGGAUUUGCUGAACUAACAAAUUGAACUGGAAUACAAAAAAGGGAGGCGUGAGGAGGUCCGGGAAAUAAGCAAAUGAAGGAUAAGUAAAGGAAAGAAUGAAUUGUUUUUAAUCAUUUUUAUUUUGCAUUUUUCUAUUUUCUUUUUUUUAUCUUGUAAUACUCUGAAAAUCUUAAUAAAUAUCUUAUAAAAUAAAUAAAUAAAUAAAGGCAAAUGAUUUGUCACACUAUCAUUUUCUAAACUAGUGCUGAUGUGUGUCAACAAUGGGGAAAGUGCAAGCAGCACGAGGUAUUUGGCAAUGCUGAAAAAAAUAGAGGCAAAAAGGUUGUUUAAAAACAAUACCUAAAUCACACUUUCCCCAGUGUUUCCAAUCUCUCUGCAUUUGGGUGCUCAUUUCCACAUGAAAUAGCUGUGCUGAAGGAAUUUCCCAAUAUAAUUUCAAAAAAUUGGGAGCAUGGGUGAGUAACCUGCGGCUCUGCAUGUGUUGCUGAUAUCCAACUCCUAGCAGCCCCAGCCAGCAGCACCAAUGGUCAAGGAUGAUGGUAACUGUAGUCCAGCAACAUCUGGUGAACCAAGCAUUAGCCACCCUUGUUCUAGAGCAGUAGUUCCCCAACUUGGGUCUCCAGCUGCUUUUGGACCACAAUUCCCAUCAUCCCUGACUACUGGUCUUGCUAGCUAGGGAUGAUGGGAGUUGUAGCCCCAAACCAGCUGGAGACCCAAGCUGGGGAAACACUGGUAUAGAGUACACAGUCAGCUUAGUUCAUCUGGGGCUUCAGUCAGGCCUGUUGACCUUCUCAUUAUUGUCCCAUAUGAGCUGAGAGUGAAAUUUACAAGAUACCAGAUGCUUUCAUUCUUGCUGUAGGGAAGACUGGUAGUGCUUGCUAAGCUGCCUUUCAGGAAAGCUUGUCUCCUGUUAUUGAUCCUUUUACUGAGAAAGUCAUGAUAAGCUUCUAAGCAACCCCAGGCCUUCCCGGAAAACAGCUUGAAAACCACAGACUUUACUCUGGAAAUUCCACUGUUGGUGGGUCUUUCAAAGCAAAACGUUCAGAUCAAGCAUUAGAUCUCCUUCUCCUUUCAGUUCGAAGACGAACAUCACCUGCAGCUAAACAAGACUCGGCUGUAUGGCAUGUUUCAAUUCUAUGUUGCGUCUAACACAUCUAGACAAUAGUUAUCAUAUAAAGUUACUACCACAUUGGUAGGACAACACUCACUGAUUGUGUAUUAUUUUGAACAUGGACAAAGGCCAGGGUCUAUGCUGGCUAACAAUUUUGUUGAGUACAGAGGUAGAUCUAUUGAUACCAGUACAAAGGGGUCUUCACUGUGACAUUAAAAUUGGUUUACCAUACAUGAAAAGAUAAGUAGUAGCAAUGAAGUAGGUAUGUCAGGCAUACUGAAAUUACAGUGAAAUGUUGAUGAUUGGUGAACAGAGUAUUAGAACCUGGAUUCAAAUCUUAACUCAGACAUAGUCUUGCCAGGUGGCUUUUGGGGGGCGGGUAGAAAGGUUUGGUCUGCCCUGGUUUCCAGAAAUAAUAGCAGCCUACCCCUCACAGGAACACACUAUAAAUAAGGAUUGCAAAACAUAAUCAAUAAGCAGUGGAUUAAAAGUGCCAUAAAACAAUGUCUGUGCUUCUUAAAACAGUUGACCAACAACCACCAAUAUUAUAAAGUGACACAACUCAUUUGGGGUGGAAAAUAGGGCACUCUUGCCAUUGUUUUUAGCAUAGUGUGUUCAUGUGACUGGACUUAAAAUAUUGUAUCAAGAACGUGAUUGUCAGAUAUGAAAAAAUAAGGCUAGGAAAUAGAGAACUAAUACACCCCCAUGUCUGGGGGAAACAUGUCAGUUAAGGCAAAUGAAACUCAUGAAUGUAAUGCAGAAACCCAGUCUCUUGAUUUCCCCAAGAAUUUGGCAACUGCCACUAAUUAAGCAGGACAAAUUAAGUUUGGCAGCCAUUAGGAUCCUGCCCGACACUGCAGUAUGCCAGGCACCAUGACUAAGAGUGAAUUCACACGUUGAACAGGCACCCAGAGAGUUAGCAUAGUAUACUAACUUUAUAUGCACACGCUUUAACAUGGGACACAUUUAAAAUGCAACCCCUAAUGAGAGGACUGUACCAUGUACGCUGCGCAACACUUGGAUAGGCUCCAAUGCAAUUCGGAGGAAUUUGGUGAGUUUGCCCCAUCUGUGGGAACUUUGCACACUAUAAGAGGCUAUGUUUUCUGUGAUUACCAGUUUCCUUUCACUGUAUUAGUUAAGUGAUUUCAGAAGUGAUGGGGGCAGAUAGCUUUCCUUUGCUCUACAUCGUUCAAGUUCCCCCACCCAUCACACUUCUCUCACCCAUCCCCAAAUACUUGUUACAUAACUGAGAUAAGGCAACUUAUGAACCCAGUAUCAAAUGCAAACCACACAUUCACACUCUGGGCCUUUGAGGAAAGGAA
rnacentral:lncRNA from 1 species